AAGUCGUAACAAGGUAUCCGUAGGUGAACCUGCGGAUGGAUCAUUACCAAAGGAUCCACAUCCACACACGUAAUGUGAACUGUUUUGAUUCUGCCGUCAGUGGUCAAGUGCGCCUAGCGUGCUCGCCACUGACUGCGCAACAUUUACACGUCUAUUCAUUUCAAACUGAAGUCUUGUUUAUACAAAUCAAAAACUAUAAACAACUUUUAGCAAUGGAUCUCUUGGCUCUU
rnacentral:misc_RNA from 1 species